AGACCCGAAACCCGGUGAUCUAGCCAUGGGCAGGUUGAAGGUUGGGUAACACUAACUGGAGGACCGAACCGACUAAUGUUGAAAAAUUAGCGGAUGACCUGUGGCUGGGGGUGAAAGGCCAAUCAAACCGGGAGAUAGCUGGUUCUCCCCGAAAGCUAUUUAGGUAGCGCCUCGUGAAUUCAUCUCCGGGGGUAGAGCACUGUUUCGGCUAGGGGGCCAUCCCGGCUUACCAACCCGAUGCAAACUGCGAAUACCGGAGAAUGUUAUCACGGGAGACACACGGCGGGUGCUAACGUCCGUCGUGAAGAGGGAAACAACCCAGACCGCCAGCUAAGGUCCCAAAGUCAUGGUUAAGUGGGAAACGAUGUGGGAAGGCCCAGACAGCCAGGAUGUUGGCUUAGAAGCAGCCAUCAUUUAAAGAAAGCGUAAUAGCUCACUGGUCGAGUCGGCCUGCGCGGAAGAUGUAACGGGGCUAAACCAUGCACCGAAGCUGCGGCAGCGACGCUGAUGCGUUGUUGGGUAGGGGAGCGUUCUGUAAGCCUGUGAAGGUGUGCUGUGAGGCAUGCUGGAGGUAUCAGAAGUGCGAAUGCUGACAUAAGUAACGAUAAAGCGGGUGAAAAGCCCGCUCGCCGGAAGACCAAGGGUUCCUGUCCAACGUUAAUCGGGGCAGGGUGAGUCGACCCCUAAGGCGAGGCCGAAAGGCGUAGUCGAUGGGAAACGGGUUAAUAUUCCCGUACUUGGUGUUACUGCGAAGGGGGGACGGAGAAGGCUAUGUUGGCCGGGCGACGGUUGUCCCGGUUUAAGCGUGUAGGUGUGUGUUCCAGGUAAAUCCGGUU
rnacentral:rRNA from 1 species